rnacentral:rRNA from 1 species
ACGGCGUAGUAAUGGAUCGGAACGUACCCUUCGGACGGGGAUAGCUACGGGAAACUGUAGGUAAUACCCGAUAACAUCUGCGGAUCAAAGGUGAGAUUCCGCCGGAGGAGCGGCUGAUUUGAUAUUAGCUAGUUGGUGGGGUAAAGGCCUACCAAGGCGAUGAUGUCUAGGGGGUGUGAGAGCAUGGCCCCCACGACCGGAACUGAGAUACUGUCCGGACACCUACGGGUGGCUGCAGUCGAGAAUCUUCCGCAAUGGACGAAAGUCUGACGGAGCGACGCCGCGUGCGGGAUGAAGGCCCUUGGGUUGUAAACCGCUGUCAGAGGGGAUGAAAUCUUCGGAGGUACUCCUCCGAAGUUGACAGAGCCUCAAAGGAAGCACGGGCUAAGUACGUGCCAGCAGCCGCGGUAACACGUACUGUGCGAACGUUAUUCGGAAUCACUGGGCUUAAAGGGUGCGUAGGCUGCGAUGCAAGUCAGGUGUGAAAUGCCGGAGCUCAACUGCGGCAUUGCGCUUGAAACUGUGUUGCUUGAGUAUUUCAGGGGUGUGGGGAACUGCCAGUGGAGCGGUGAAAUGUGUUGA